rnacentral:rRNA from 1 species
UACGGAAGGCAGCAGGGGGAAUAUUGCACAAUGGGCGCAAGCCUGAUGCAGCCAUGCCGCGUGUAUGAAGAAGGCCUUCGGGUUGUAAAGUACUUUCAGUCGUGAGGAAGGUGUUAAGGUUAAUAACCUUAGCAAUUGACGUUAGCGACAGAAGAAGCACCGGCUAACUCCGUGCCAGCAGCCGCGGUAAUACGGAGGGUGCGAGCGUUAAUCGGAAUUACUGGGCGUAAAGGGCACGCAGGCGGUUAAUAAGUUGGAUGUGAAAUCCCCGGGCUUAACCUGGGAAUGGCAUUCAAGACUGGUUAGCUAGAGUCUUGUAGAGGGGGUAGAAUUCCAUGUGUAGCGGUGAAAUGCGUAGAGAUGUGGAGGAAUACCGGUGGCGAAGGCGGCCCCUGGACAAAGACUGACGCUCAUGUGCGAAAGCGUGGGGAGCAAACAGGGAUUAGAUACC